rnacentral:rRNA from 1 species
GAUUAACGCUGGCGGCGUGCCUAACACAUGCAAGUCGAACGGACCUUUAAUGUUGAGAAUUCCGAUCCUUCGGGCGUCUCAAUAUUAAUGGUUAGUGGCGGACGGGUGAGUAACACGUUGGUACCUGCCCAUCAGAAGGGGAUAACACUUGGAAACAGGUGCUAAUACCGUAUAACACUAUUUUCCGCAUGGAAGAAAGUUGAAAGGCGCUUUUGCGUCACUGAUGGCUGGACCCGCGGUGCAUUAGCUAGUUGGUGAGGUAACGGCUCACCAAGGCAACGAUGCAUAGCCGACCUGAGAGGGUGAUCGGCCACACUGGGACUGAGACACGGCCCAGACUCCUACGGGAGGCAGCAGUAGGGAAUCUUCGGCAAUGGACGAAAGUCUGACCGAGCAACGCCGUGUGAGUGAAGAAGGUUUUCGGAUCGUAAAACUCUGUUGUUAGAGAAGAACAAGGAUGAGAGUAAAACGUUCAUCCCUUGACGGUAUCUAACCAGAAAGCCACGGCUAACUACGUGCCAGCAGCCGCGGUAA